UACGUAGGGUGCAAGCGUUGUCCGGAAUUAUUGGGCGUAAAGAGUUCGUAGGCGGUUUGUCGCGUCGGCUGUGAAAUCUCGGGGCUUAACCCCGAGCCUGCAGUCGAUACGGGCAGACUUGAGUUCGGUAGGGGAGACUGGAAUUCCUGGUGUAGCGGUGAAAUGCGCAGAUAUCAGGAAGAACACCCGUGGCGAAGGCGGCUCUCUGGGACGGUACUGACGCUGAGACGCGAAAGCGUGGGGAGCGAACAGG
rnacentral:rRNA from 1 species